rnacentral:rRNA from 1 species
AUGCAGCACCGGAACAAUAGGGGGGACGUGGCCAACUGUGUGGAUUGCUACGUCAGUGAGCAUAAGGUUACAGACAAGGUCGCCUUUGCUGCAAUCGACUCGAUGAUAGAAGAUGAAUGGAAGACCACCAACCAAGCUCGGUUUGAGCAUCGCCGUGAGCUCUUCCCGGUGGUGCAACGGGUUGUCAACUUCACUCUCAGCCUGCCGGUGUACUAUGGUGAUAGGAAAGAUGCCUUCACAUUUAGCACGCAUCUUAACGGCAUUAUCAAGAACCUCUUCGUCAAGCCCAUACCGAUCUAG